GUCAAUAAGGAAAGCAGGAAAGACCGGGUGAAGCGAUAGGGCUACACGCAAGUAACAUGGUAGUUAGGCUACGGGAUGGUAGACAGAGCGUGUGAAGAAUAAACAUGACCCGGCAAAACAGUUGAAGAAAGCAGGAACGGUAGGACAAGAAAGCACAGUGUUCGGAACGUAGAAGAAAACUGAACAGGUUGAGCCAAUCAACACUUUACUCCUCAACCAAGAAGCCGUUAAGCGGAAGAAUCAACGAGCGAGAGGACACAGUACCUUGUUGGC
rnacentral:ncRNA from 1 species